GCCCAGGUGGCGGAAUUGGUAGACGCACCAGAUUCAGGGUCUGGCGGUCGCAAGGCCGUGGAGGUUCGAGUCCUCUCCUGGGCACCA
rnacentral:tRNA from 1 species